rnacentral:tRNA from 3 species
CUGGGUGUGGCGCAGCUGGUAGCGCGCUACCUUGGGGUGGUAGAGGCCGUGGGUUCAAGUCCCGUCACUCAGACCA